rnacentral:lncRNA from 1 species
CCCGGCUUUUUUUUUUUUUUUUUUUUUUUUUUUUGAGACAGAGUCUCAUUCUGUCGCCCAGGCUGGAGUGCAGCAGCACUAUCUCAGCUUACUGCAACCUCUACCUCCCAGUUUCAAGUGAUUCUCCUGUCUCAGCCUCCUGAGUAGCUGGGAUUAGAGGCAUGCACCAUGACACUCUGCUAAUUUCUAUAUUUUUAGUAGAGACAGGGUUUCACCAUUUUGCCCAGGCUGGUCUCAAACUCCUGAACUCAAAUGAUCGGCUCACCACAGUCUCCCAAAGUGCUGGGAUUACAGGUGUGAGCCACCAUGCCCAGCCUCCUGUGUUCUCUUCUAAAAGCUUUAUAAUUUUACAUUUAAAUCAAAGAUCAAAUUUGAGUUAAUUUUUGUAUAAAGUAUGAGGCUUAGGUAUAGGUUUAUUGUUUAUUUCUGCCUAUGGAUGUGCAAAUUUUCCAGCACCAUUUGUUAAAAAGAAAAUUCCCGUGUUUCUGGGGUCCCAUGACCACCCCAGGUUUAGUGAUUCACUAGAAGGAGUCACAAGAGUCAAUAUAGCAGGUUUUACUCACUGCUAAAGUUUAUUAAGGAAAGGAAACAGAGCAAAAACAACAGGAAAAAUGCAUGCAUUGGACAGAGUCCAGAGAGGUCAGGCAUAGACUUCCCCAUCUGAAGCCACACAGGAUGUGCUUUCUCUCUUGCAGUGAACUACAGGACCAUGUGAGGAAUAACUCUGCCCAGAGAAAUCUGUUCAAACCUCAGGGUCUGCGGCUUUUAUGUGUAGAGGAACAGCUCUGUCAUGGCAACCUGACAACAGAGACCACACAGACAAAGACUUGACCUGCAGUUUAUCUGAAUCUUGGCAGAACUCCUUGUGAUCUUCUCGGUAUACAAGAGGAUAAGAGGUCCCUUUUGUUUUGAUGUCAUCCUUUUUGGUGUGUGAAACAAGGACCACAGGGAGCUGGCACCUUUGGCUACACUUCUUUUCACUCCCCAGGUAAGUAAUAAACUGUCUGAAUCUUAAAAGCACUCAUAGUGUCUUUUUUAUUGGCGAAGUCUGUCAGGCCUUAGCCUUUUCUCACACUUCACCAAAUUACUUUUGCAUCUUCGUCAAAAGUCAGUUGGACAUAUUUGUGUGGGUCAGUUCUUUCUAACAGCUUUACUGAAGUAUGACUGGCAUACAAUAAACUGCACAUAUUUUAAGUGUACAAUCUCACUUUGACCCUCAAAGGGUCUCACUUUGUUACCCAGGCUGGUGUGCAGUGGCACAAACAUGGCUUACUGCAGCCUCGACCUACUGGGCUUAAAUGAUCCUCCCACCUCAGCCUCCCAAGUAGCUGGGACUUACAGGCAUUCACACCAUGGCUGACUAAUUUUUUAAAAAAAAUUUAGUACAGACGAGAUCUUACUGUGUUGCCCAGGCUGGUCUCAAACUCCUGAAUUCAAGCAAUCCUCCCGUGUUGGCCUCCCAAAGUGCUAGGAUUACAGGCGUGAGCCACCUCGCCUGGCCUAGUUUGUGUUUUUUAAGAAUUUAUGUUUUGCCUGGGCACAGUGGCUCACGCCUGUAAUCCCAGCACUUUGGGAGGCCAAGGCGGAUGACUCAAGGAGUUCAAGAUCAGCCUGGCCAACGUGGUGAAAACCUGUCUCUACUAAAAACACAAAAAAUAGCCAGACGUGGUGGCACACACCUGUAGUCCCAGCUACCUUGGUGAGGUGGAAGAAUCCUUUGAACCCCGGAGACGGAGGUUGCAGUGAGCCAAGAUCACACCAUUUCACUCCAGCCUGGGCAACAGAGCGAGACCCUAACUCAAAAAAAAAAAGAACCCCCCCCAAAAAAGAAUUUAUACGUUUUGAUUCAUUGAUUGAUUGAAUCAUACAUCAAUUUUUUUCUGACUUCUUUCACUCAGAAGAAUUAUUUUCAGAUUCACCUAUGUUAGUUUUUUUUGUUGUUGCUGGUUUUUUUUUUUUUUUUUGAGACAAGGUCUUGCUACUGCCCAGGCUGGAAUGCAGUAGUACCAUCUCGGCUCACUGCAACCUCUGCCUUUCUGGGCUCAAGUGAUUCUCCUGCCUCAGCCUCCUGAGUAGCUGGGACUACAGGCGUGCACCACCACACCCAGCUAAUUUUUGUAUUUUUAGUAGAGACGGGGGUUUACCAUGUUGGCCAGGAUGGUCUCGAUCUCUUGACCUCAUGAUCUGCCCACCUCGGUCUUCCAAAGUGCUGGGAUUACAGGCAUGAGCCACUGCGCCCGGCCACACCUAUGUUAUUAUAUAUAUCAAUAGUCCUUUUCUUUUUUUGCUAAGUAGUAUUUUGCUGUAUGGCUAUACCACAAUUUGUUUAUCCAUUUACCUGUUGAUGCACAUUUGGGCUCUUUCCAGUUUGUAACUAUUGCAAAUAAAGCUUCUACGACCAUUUGUAUAUAAAACUGAAGUGCAAUGGUGCGAUCCACAGGAUGGAGUGCUGUGGUGUGAUCUCAGCUCACUGCAAUCUCCGCCUCCUGGGUUCAAGCGAUUUUCCCACCUCAGCCUCCUGAGUAGCUGGGACUACAGGUGUGUGCCAUCACGCCCGACUAAUGUUUGUAUUUUUAGUAGAGAUGGGUUUUGACCAUGUGGGUCAGGCUGGUCUUGAACUCCUGACCUCAAGCAAUCCACUUGCCUCCGUCUCCCAAAGUGCUGGGAUUACAGGUGUAAGCCACCACGCCCGAACUAAGUGGUAUUUUAAAAUUUCAAUUUCAAUUGUCAAUUACUAAUAUAUAUAAAUGAAAUUUUAAAAAAACAUUAAUGAUGUAGCCUGCAACCUUGCUAAACUCACUUUCAGUUCUAGAACUUUUUUUAGAUUGUAACUGGUUUUCUGCAUAUGAGCAAUUAUCUCCAAGUAAAGAGAAUACUUCUUCCUUUAUCAUUUGUGAGCUUUUAUUGCAUUUUAUUUUCUAAUUUCUCUGUCCAGACCCUCCAGUACAAUGUUUGCUAUGGUCUGGAUGCAUCCCCCAAAAUUCAUGUGUUGGAAACUUGAUCCCUAGUUGCAGCAGUGUUGGGAAGUGGGGCCUUUUGGGAGAUGUUUAGGUUUUGAGGGCUCUGCCCUCUAAAUGGAUUAAUGCCAUUAUAAAAAAAGGACUUGUGGGAGUGGGUUUGCUCUCUUCUACCACAUGAGGACACAGCGUUCCUCUCCUCCAGAGGAUGCAGUGUUUGAGGCAUCAUCUUGGCAGCAGAGAGGUCAGGCUCUAACCUGCUGGUGACUUGAUCUUGGACUUCACAGCCUUCAGAAUUAUCAGUAAUUAAUUUCUGUUCUUUGUAAAUUACCCAGUCUCAGGUAUUCUGUUAUAACGGCACAAAACAGACUAAGGCAAUGCUGAAUAUAAGAGGUGAGAACAAACAUCCCUGACUUGUUACUGAUUUUAUAAGGAAGGCACCCAGUCUUUCACCAUUAAGUUUGUUAGGUAUAGGAUUUUCAUAGAUGUGCUUUAAUAGGUUGAGGAUCUUUACUUCUACUCCUAUAUUGCUGAGAAUUGUUAUCAGCCAUAGAUAUUGGUUUUGUCAAAUGAUUUUUCUGCAUCUAUUGAGAUGAGCCCAUGGCUUUUCUUUGUUAAUUUAUUAACAUGGUCAAUUAUAUUGAUUGAUUUUCAAAUGUAAACCAACCUUGCAUUCCUGAUAUAAACCACACUUACACAUGAUGUAUUAUUUUUUUUUUAAUUUUUAAUUUUUGUGGGUACAUAGUAGGUGUAUGUAUUUAUGAGGUACAUGAGAUGUUUUGAUAUAGUCAUGCAAUGUGAAAUAAGCACACCAUGAAGAAUGGGGUAUCCAUCCCCUCAAGCAUUUAUCCAUUGAGUUGCAAACAAUUCAAUUACACUCUUUAAGUUAUUUUAAAAUGUACAGUUAUUAUUGACUAUAGUCACCCUGUUGUGCUAUCAAAUAGUAGGUCUUAGUUAUUCUGUCUACUGUUUUUUUUUGGACCCAUUAUAUUUUUUAUAUUCUUAUAUUGCUAGAUUCAGUUUGCUAAUAUUUUGUUUAGAGUUUUUUGUUUCUAUGUUCACUAGGGGAUAUUGGUUUGUAGUUUUAUCUGUCUUGCUUCGGUAUCAUGGUAAUGCUGUCCUCAUAGAAUGAGUUAGGAAAUAUUCCUUCCUUUCAAUUUCCUGGAAGAGUUUGGGUAAAAUUGAUGUUAUUUCAAACCUUAAGUUUUUGGUAGCGAUAACUAGUGUAAACAUCCAGGUCUGGAGUUACUAAACUGGAGUUUACUAGUGAGAAGCUUUUUAACUACAAAUUAUAUUUCUAUGAUAGGUUUAGGGGUAUUCAUUUUUGUGUGUUUGUAUGUGUGUGUAUGUAUCUCUAUACAUACAGAUAGAUAGAUAGGUAGAUAGCUAGAUAGAGAUAUAAUCUCCUUUAAUGAGCUUUAGUAGUUUAUAUCUUUCAAGCAAUUAGCCCAUCCCAUCUAAGUCCUCAAAUUUAUUGCUAUAAAUGUGUUUAUAAUAUUCCCUUAUUAACCUAUUUAGUAUUUGUAGAAUCUGUGUUAAUAGUU